rnacentral:rRNA from 1 species
GAGUUUGAUCUUGGCUCAGAGCGAACGCUGGCGGCAUGCUUAACACAUGCAAGUCGCACGGUCAGCAAUGGCAGUGGCGGACGGGGUGAGUAACACGUAGGAAUCUAUCUCUGGGUGGGGGACAACAGUGGGAAACUACUGCUAAUACCGCAUGAUACCUGAGGGUCAAAGGCGUAAGUCGCCUGGAGAGGAGCCUGCGUCUGAUUAGCUUGUUGGUGGGGUAAAGGCCUACCAAGGCUACGAUCAGUAGCUGGUCUGAGAGGAUGAUCAGCCACAUUGGGACUGAGACACGGCCCAAACUCCUACGGGAGGCAGCAGUGGGGAAUAUUGGACAAUGGGCGAAAGCCUGAUCCAGCAAUGCCGCGUGUGUGAAGAAGGUCUUCGGAUUGUAAAGCACUUUUGGCAGGGACGAUGAUGACGGUACCUGCAGAAUAAGCCCCGGCUAACUUCGUGCCAGCAGCCGCGGUAAC